UACGUAGGGUGCAAGCGUUGUCCGGAAUUACUGGGCGUAAAGCGUGCGCAGGCGGCUUUUUAAGUCUGAUGUGAAAGCCCACGGCUUAACCGUGGAAGGUCAUUGGAAACUGGAAGGCUUGAGUACAGAAGAGGAAAGCGGAAUUCCACGUGUAGCGGUGAAAUGCGUAGAGAUGUGGAGGAACACCAGUGGCGAAGGCGGCUUUCUGGUCUGUAACUGACGCUGAGGCGCGAAAGCGUGGGGAGCAAACAGG
rnacentral:rRNA from 1 species